GAUGAACGCUGGCGGCGUGCUUAACACAUGCAAGUCGAACGAAGCGCUUAAACGGAUUUCUUCGGAUUGAAGUUUUUGCGACUGAGUGGCGGACGGGUGAGUAACGCGUGGGUAACCUGCCUCAUACAGGGGGAUAACAGUUAGAAAUGGCUGCUAAUACCGCAUAAGCGCACAGUGCCGCAUGGCAGUGUGUGAAAAACUCCGGUGGUAUGAGAUGGAUCCGCGUCUGAUUAGCCAGUUGGCGGGGUAACGGCCCACCAAAGCGACGAUCAGUAGCCGGCCUGAGAGGGCGACCGGCCACAUUGGGACUGAGACACGGCCCAA
rnacentral:rRNA from 1 species